rnacentral:lncRNA from 1 species
UUUUAUGAUGUAAUUCAUAGACCAUACACAGUGGAAUUCUAUAUCUUAUUUAUUUCCUCUUCCUUCUUUCUAUCAUCCCUCCCUUUAUCCACAUCCCUUUAGUUUUGCUUCACAACCUAGAAUCCCAUUUUUUUUUUAGAUAAAAAAGUGCAGUUGCUACAACUAUAUGACACAUCUACUCAUUUAUGAUAGAGGUAUUUAUUCAUAUAGUGACUGUUUCUUAGUUAGGAUCUCGACAAUACGAAGCAAUAGGUUGGUUAUUAGUAUUAGUUAAUUUUCUAUAAUUACUAAGUUUUUUUCUUUAAAAAAGAAAAAAAAAUAACGAGUCACACACUAAACGUAGCAAUUAUAUUAAAUGAUUUAUCAAUUUUCAUUAAAUCUUAUAGAAAGAGGUAGAAUUUCUUCUUUUGCAGGGAUUUCAGGAAAAAAGUCUCUUGUCAUUUUUUAUUCUAUCAAUGGACAGAAUUCGAAGACAAG